UGCCACUUCAGAUGAUGCAAAACUUACAGUCUUUGGAGGGAUUAAUAAAUGCCUUAUCAACAUUGUGUCUGUGGUGCAUCUUUCCUAGAUUCUGCAGCAGACUGGCCUUGUUGAUCAAUCGGCAUUGGAUCUGUGCACAGCCAUGGCAUUUCUGUUCCUGGGCAGAAGUUAUUUUCAAGUUUCUAAUAAUAAAGUGGGCUUGCUUCCUUGCAAUGAUUGUCUGCCCUUGAUCUGAAACCUGAAAAGUCACUUUUAAAGCCUGUUCUCAGUGAAGACAUGAAGUCAGUUACCA
rnacentral:lncRNA from 1 species